ensembl:lncRNA
AUAAACUUCUCCAGUUUCUCCAUAGAAUAUAGCCAAUUUUGAUUAUAUCAACUUUAUAGCUAUAGAAUCUAGAGCAGUAAGCUUGAUAGAUACUGGUGCUUUGUAGCAGAUGGGAUUUAAAAAACCCACACAUGCUAAGGGAGAAAACAAGCAAAAAUCAAAAAGAGAAGCGACAUUCACAACUCCAGCAGGACAUUGAAGCUAUUCACAUUUUAGUGAGCUGUUUAGUGAGUCCUUUGCCUGGCUGAGAAUUCUAUUUAAAGAAAAGUUAAAAAUCAUGGGCGUAAAUGUUAGUCGGCUAUGGGUCAGGUGUGCCGGGCUGUAAUUAGAAUCAUGCUCUUUGGUCAUGUUGAAACGUAAAGGGUGAGAAAAGACCUUUGGAAAAAUCAAUUUUCAGAUGUAUGUAAUUUAUCGUGUGGUGAUAACCUGAAAUGAGAUUUAGAGGUUUGCAAUAUAAAAUGAGGAAAGAUGAAAGGUUGGGAAAUCAAUUUUUGUUUCAUGUUUGAUUUAAAACGAAGUGGUGAAUGUGAAGGGAUAAAAUAAUAAUGAUGUAAAAGUUGGCAUCUAAGUGACAGCCUGGAGAGGAGAGAACUAGGCAGUGAAGGCUUGUCUGCAGUGAUGCAGGAGAGAACGAGAUAAAGCCGAGUGUCCUUGAGCACCAGGAUUUGCCUUACUGUCUGAAUGUUCUUGGAAUUGAGGUUGUGGCCGUCUUUGUUCUCCUUUUCAAACAGCCGACUCUGACAGCAUCUUUUUCUGCUCUGAAGACUUUGAAGGGCUUUCUUACAGCUUUGCCUCGUAAGGAGGUGUUCUGGGACUCUGUUGGAAACUGUCUAUCCUAGGAAUAUCCCUCCCUCUGCCCUAAAGUAACUGAAGUCAUGAGAACCUUUUACUGAUGGCUUACAUCACAGCUUGCAGGUAAGUUAAAGCCUUAGCACAGUAAUUCUUAACCUUGGCUCACAUUAGAAUUACCCAAAAAGCUUUUAAGAAUUACUGGUGUCAGGGCUUUCCAUUAAAUUAGAAUCUCUGAGGUUGAAGCCCUGGUACUUUAAUUAUAAGAAAGCUUCCCAAGUGAUUCUAAUAUGCAGGUAGGCCUGAAAUCUAUCACUUCAGAGAUGUAACUGGGAAUAUCCUUGUUUAACACUUAACGUACACAAGAGAACAGAAAUAGUAUGUAAUAAGCUGUGAUACAGGCAUACAACCAGAAGAUUAGUCCCAUAGCAGACAGGAGGUGAUUUUGAGCUAGUGGAAAGUGAUCAAAUGGUGAUAUUUGGGAGAGAAAAUAAUGGGAAAAAGAAGAGUGGCCCAAGAACUCUCAGAGUGGAUAUAGACCAUACACUUCAUGCUUAAUACCUACGUCAAAUAGUGUGCUUUAUAAUUACACUUAUUGAAAUUAGUCAGGUACAAAUGUUCUUCUUAAGCUUCAGAUAAUCCAUGGAGGCUAAAAAAAGUGGUUUUGGGUACCUGUGGGGAGAGGGAGUUCACAUGAAGUUAUACUAAACGGAAGCUCCUCUGAUAAUGUGAGAAACUUAUCUUUAUUUCUGAAAGGUGUGGCUGUGGUUAGAGUACUU